AAGAGGUGGUAGAAAAGCAAAGAUGGGGGAUGAGAAUAUAAAAGCACUGGGCUCUUAGGAGUGCAAGGAAGGAUGGUGUAAAAAUGAAAUGGAAUGGUGUGGAUAAAUAACAUAUAUUGGGAUAGAAAGAUAAAAACAAGGUAUAAAAGGGAGAUUGAAAAUGUCAAAAAUAGAUUGAGCUGAGCCUAAUAAAAACAAAUAAUAAAAUGAAAAUGAAAAUUUUAUUCUUUUUAAAAGAAAAUGAAAAUUUUUAUUUUUAAAAGAAAAUGAAAAUUUUCAAAGAAACUUUUGUUUUAUUCUUUUUAUUAAAAC
rnacentral:lncRNA from 1 species